AAGUAUUUACAAGGCUGGCAGUCGCAUUGGGAAUGUCCAUGACGAUCUGUCAACAUUUCAGGUUAUGUUGACGGGUCGUGAUGGGCACUCUCACUGUCUCAUGCUGAUGAUGAUUCGUG
rnacentral:pre_miRNA from 1 species